rnacentral:lncRNA from 1 species
UUAAAUAAUGAAACAAUCUAAUAAUUAUAAAAAUUUAUAAAUAUUCAUGAUCUGAAGGAUUAAAAUUAUACAUUUUGUAUGAGGGAAAAUGGCAGUUGGAGAGAUUAGGCUGGUCGGGGUCGAAUAUACCGAAAGUCGGCCCAUGAUAUCCUCAUCUCAAGAGCAGUGUCGGAACAAAGGGGCAUCCUUUCAGGUAAAGGCAAAGCUGCACGAGAUCAGUUAAGAUGGUGACUCUGCGCUAAAGAACAAAUGAAAGGACAAUGGGUUAGGAUAUUUAAAUAGCACCGGCAACAUUGGGCAAAGCUGCGUCUGACAUAUGCGAAUAAAAUGGCCCUGUCCAACGGCUCCAAGCUAGUAGCACUCUCGUAUUGGUCAUAGACAGAUCUGUCAUCCUAUAAAUAGUCACCUCCUUCCUCAUUGUAAAGGAUUCGUAAUUUCUGCUCCUCUUUAUUCUCAAGCAAUAAAAGAUCUUUAGUUUUGUCCUUAAAUUUUCUCUGUUGGCCUUAAAUUUC